ACGAACGCUGGCGGCGUGCCUAAUACAUGCAAGUGGAACGCUGAAGGAGGAGCUUGCUUCUCUGGAUGAGUUGCGAACGGGUGAGUAACGCGUAGGUAACCUGCCUGGUAGCGGGGGAUAACUAUUGGAAACGAUAGCUAAUACCGCAUAAUAUUGACUAUUGCAUGAUAGUCAGUUGAAAGGUGCAACUGCACCACUACCAGAUGGACCUGCGUUGUAUUAGCUAGUUGGUGGGGUAACGGCUCACCAAGGCGACGAUACAUAGCCGACCUGAGAGGGUGAUCGGCCACACUGGGACUGAGACACGGCCCAGACUCCUACGGGAGGCAGCAGUAGGGAAUCUUCGGCAAUGGACGGAAGUCUGACCGAGCAACGCCGCGUGAGUGAAGAAGGUUUUCGGAUCGUAAAGCUCUGUUGUAAGAGAAGAACGAGUGUGAGAGUGGAAAGCUCACACUGUGACGGUAUCUUACCAGAAAGGGACGGCUAACUACGUG
rnacentral:rRNA from 1 species